AGAGUUUGAUCAUGGCUCAGGAUUAACGCUGGCGGCGUGCCUAACACAUGCAAGUCGAACGAGGUAGCAAUACCUAGUGGCAGACGGGUGAGUAACGCGUGGUCAACCUACCAUUGAGCGGGGGAUAACUAGCCGAAAGGCUAGCUAAUACCGCAUAACACCAAAGCCGGCAUCGGCGAUGGUUGAAAGCAGCAAUGCACUCGAUGACGGGACCGCGUCCGAUUAGCUAGUUGGUGAGGUAAUGGCUCACCAAGGCUGCGAUCGGUAGCUGGUUUGAGAGAACGACCAGCCACACUGGGACUGAGAACGGCCCAGACUCCUACGGGAGGCAGCAGUGAGGAAUUUUCCGCAAUGGGCGAAAGCCUGACGGAGCGACGCCGCGUGUGGGAAGAAGGCCUUCGGGUCGUAAACCACUGUCGAAGGGGAAGAUAUUGACGGUACCCUUGGAGGAAGCCCCGGCUAACUACGUGCCAGCAGCCGCGGUAAGACGUAGGGGGCAAGCGUUAUUCGGAAUUAUUGGGCGUAAAGCGCUCGUAGGCGGGACAGGAAGUCCGUGAAGAAAGACCUGGGCUCAACUCAGGGAACGGCACGGAUACUCUUGUUCUUGAGGCAAUCAGAGGGUGAUGGAAUUCCCGGUGUAGCGGUGAAAUGCGUAGAUAUCGGGAGGAACCCAGUGGCGAAGGCGAUCACCUGGGGUUGUUCUGACGCUGAGGAGCGAAAGCCAGGGGAGCAAACGGGAUUAGAUACCCCAGUAGUCC
rnacentral:rRNA from 1 species